GACAGGCCCGCCCUGUCUCAGUGGAUGAAAAGGGACAGAUUAGGGGAGGUCUGCUCAGCUGUGGGGCACAGAAGACAGGAUCGGUGAUGGUCUCCACCAUGGCUUGGUCUCCGGUCCUUUUCACCCUCCUCGCUCACUGCACAGGGUCCUGGGCCCAGUCUGUACUGACUCAGCCACCCUCAGUGUCAGGCUCCUUGGGCCAGAGGGUCACCAUCUCCUGCACUGGAAGCAGUUCCAACAUCGGUAGCAAUUAUGUCAGCUGGUACCAACAACUCCCAGGCACAACCCCCCAAACCAUAAUCUAUUGGGAUAAUAGCAGACCCUCAGGGGUCCCUGAACGAUUCUCUGGCUCCAAGUCUGGCAGCACAGGCACCCUGACCAUCACUGGGCUCCAGGCUGAGGACGAGGCUGAUUAUUACUGCUCAACAUGGGACAACAGUCUCAGUGCUCACACAGUGCUCCAGGCCCGUGGGGAAGUGAGACAAAAACCUGCUGUCCCCACACUGAUGCGCUUUCCUAGUGCAGCCCCCACCUUCUGCCAACACAGCUGCUUCCCUAAAAUGGAGGUCUGA